GAGAGAUGCCAAAGCCACCAGCUGUAACCAGGAGGUCCCAGGUCUAGCGGGCACCAGCAACCACAUCCAAGCCUCUCCUCUAAUGUGGGUUCGGGAAGUGAGGAGGAACCCCAAGGGGUUAGCAACAGGGCCUCACUGUGUUGCCCAGGCUGGUCUUGAGCUCCCGGCUCAGCUCCCAGACUGAUGACACCUUGGGUGGCCACAUUGUCACCACGAGUAGGACCUGGUGGUGUGGAUGCCAGCAGAGAACUUGACACACAGCAUUGUCUAGCAGGAGAUUGGCAGACUGCAAAACACCCCUGACCAGAGGCCGGGUUCAACCCUCAGGACAACACAAGCUGUGGCUUGGGUCAGUUCCUCAAGGUCUCUACCACUGUGGGGAAGGGACCGGGCCCAGCCUGAGCAAGGUGGUUGCUAAAUGUGCAUCCUCAGUUGAAUUCACCCAGCGUCGUCUCUCCCCCUCCCCAUUCCCUGCCCUGUGUCCCCCAGGGCACUUCUGUGCAGGGAGGCUCCUCCUGGGACCUCCUCCAUGAAGUCAGGGGACAAAGCAGGAACCACGAGCCUACUGUGCACAGUCCCAGGGUCCCAGCUAGAAGAGUCUUUCCCACCUUUUGAGAUGACAGUGGCCCAGGUGAGCUGUGGGCUCCCCCGGGUGGAGACAGCAGGGGACCAGGAAACAGAGAAGCCACAGCCACGCUCCAGCAUCAGGGGAUUACAUCUCCCAGAGAGCUGGGGACUCCAGCAGGGGCCAGAGAGUGAGAUGGCCCUGUCCUCACCUUCUCUUCCCCCUUUGGCCACGCCCAGCAGCCUUGGCAAGGGGACUGGAGAUGGUGACUGUGAGACCUGUGCCCACCUGGCCUUGGCAGGGCAUGGGGCCAGGGGCUGGGGCAGGCUCGGAGGACACAGGGGAAGCUAAAGCUGGGCUUCUUGGCCUGGCCAUCCCUCCCUGAGGCUGGGCCACCAGCCACCAUCUCCACAGAGGGGGUGCUGGAGGAGGUGGCUGCCUGGGAACCCUGCCUAGGGCCCCAAAUUCCAGAGAAAAGCCCAGGGAGUCAUCCAGGCUGAGUCAGCAGGAGAGGGCGGGCCAGGGGGACCUGCCGCUGAGUCACUGGGGCCCCCAGGGCUGCCCUGUCUUCCUCCGCUGCCCGCCAGCCAAGAGGUCACCCAAUCUGGGUUCAAAUCUCAGCCCUGCCACUUCAGUGAGGUUGUGACCCUGGGGGAGACUGAAGGGAGACAGUAAGGUGGUGUCUGGUGAAAUGAGUGACUACAUGGAAAGUGCUCAGAAUGAGGCCAUGCUAGUGACAAGGCCAGACCUUAUCACUGUGGGACUGCCCUGUAGACACAUCUUCCAGGGUCAGGCCUUCAGUCUUCUGAUCAGACCCCCCAGGUAGGUCCUCCUUUCAUCCCAUCGGUCAGAUGACCUGGGGUGGGGCAGGUCACAGGGCUGGUGCCUGAGGACCCUGUAGACGUCCCUGUGGUGUUGCGCUCCUCCCCCACCUGCCAGCAAGUUCUCUGCCCAGGGUCCGUGCCCAGCCCCGUUUGGUGACCUGCGGACCCGAAUGAAUGGACCCAGAGGUUGCCCUGAGGAAAUGGCCCGCCCACCACGGCUUCCCGUUAUGUUUCUUGCAGCAGAAGAGGAAGCAGCCCUGGGCUCGGCACAGGGACAUCGGCUGUGCCACCGGGGAACCGGCACAGCGGGCACAGCGGGCGGGGGUCGGGCAGAAGGAGCGGCCGGCAAAGAAGUCCCGGAAAUGUCACCCUCGGCUCCCGAAGGGAGUCGUCGCUUGCUGUAACUUGCAGGUCCGCGCCGACGGCCGCUGGCCCCGGGUCGCCGUGACUCAGAGCCCCGCCCCCGGGAGGGGCGCAGUGUAAAACACAGGAAGGUACAGACUGUAACUCGGUGGAUUUUUUUUUCUGUGCACAUCCUGGUGGCCACCACCCAGGUGAAGAUUCGAACUAUCCCCGCACUCCAACAGCCUCCCUCACAACCUCUCCCAGUCAAGACUCCCCCUGGGGCCACCGUCCUGAACUGUCAGGGAUUAAUUUCACCUAGUUUCAGUCUUCCUAUAAACAGAAUCCUACAGGAGACCAGGUCUCACUGAGUUGCUGAGGCUGGCUUCGAACUCACAAUCCUCCUGUCUCGACCUCCCCAGCCUCUGGGAUUACAGGUGUGCUCCACUGCACCGAGCCAGGAUAAGCCUUGCUGUUGGCUAAACCUCCUGGAGCAUCCAGACGGCUUAGUCAUAGUGUAGGUACAGGCUCCGCUCCAGGAGAUCUGCCCACCAGCCUUGCGACAUCCUUGCACCCCGUGAUUUCAUGUGAUUGGUGGCAGCCAGCAGCAGGCACCAGCAGCAUGAGUUCCAGUCCCAUCUUCGGUGAUACUUGAGGAUUCGGGUAUUUUUAAGCUCAGCCAAUCUAUUGGAAGUGAACCCAGGUUUUCUAAUGAAAUCUUGCUGAGAAGCACACCACUGUGAACACAGAUCAAAGGAGAGGUGGAACAAAACCAAAUACGGGGACAGCAGGGAGCCUGGGGUUUUAUCUGAUUUUGUUUACUUGAUAUCUCUAUAUCCUACGGGGCGAUUUUGUAGCAUUCAAUUAAAAGCAAUGCUAUAAAGCUGA